rnacentral:lncRNA from 1 species
AUGAACACAGCGACGAUGAUGGCGAUGAACACAGCGACUGUGGUGGCGAUGAACACAACGACUGGCGAGGUUGUGGUGAGCGACGGUGGUUUGGAGAGAAAUGACGGUGAGCGACGGUGACCGUUAUGGUGAACGACGAUGGUUUCGUUUUUGGAGAGAAAUGACUUUGGUUUUUGGAGAGAAAUGAGGUUGUGUUUUUGGAGAGAAACAAAAUGGG